rnacentral:rRNA from 1 species
UACAGAGGUCUCAAGCGUUGUUCGGAUUCAUUGGGCGUAAAGGGUGCGUAGGCGGCGCGGUAAGUCGGGUGUGAAAUCUUGGAGCUUAACUCCGAAACUGCAUUCGAUACUGCCGUGCUUGAGGACUGGAGAGGAGACUGGAAUUUACGGUGUAGCGGUGAAAUGCGUAGAUAUCGUAAGGAAGACCAGUGGCGAAGGCGGGUCUCUGGACAGUUCCUGACGCUGAGGCACGAAGGCCAGGGGAGCAAACGGGAUUAGAACGUAC